GUGUGUACAAAGUGACCCCUCGCUCCUGCCACCGGUUUGAGCAAGCGUUCUACACCUAUGACACGUAAGCCUGGGAAUUGAAUGCUUUGUGGUGUUUGUAUACAUUCUGUGGAGGAUUCUUCAUUUACUUCAGAGAACAAAAGGAGUUUUUCUGGUUUUUUUUCUGAAAGAGGCAAGGUUAGGCCUUCAACAGCAUUUCUAGAUAAGGAUUUUAAGACACUUGGAUUAGUUACUGAGGAACCGGAGACAGGAUCCCUUUCCCAAGAAUUCUGUAACCCCAGGAUAGAGGGCUGUGUUUUUGAAGUGCCUUAAAUAGAAGCUUUGUCAAAUCUCCCAGCCCUCACCGAUGGGCAUCUGUCAAGUUCAAGUCUGCCAUUUUUGUAUUUUUACAGACGUGUGUGGGUUUCACUGGGAAUUGGAAGCAUAAAGUUGUGGAGUGGAGAAUUAGUUUACUCUUUAGAAUACUUCUCUGGAUCUCCAGAGUUAUUUUACCCCAGACUAAGAGCAAUUUUCUGUAGUAUAUUUAGGGUGAAGAAGGAUGCCCAAAAAGGGUAUUGCUGAUGAUCUUCUGAGAAUGAGUAGGUUCUAGUGUUUCCUCUCCUUUGAUUUGUAGGUCUUCACCUAGUAUCUUGACAUUGACAGCCAUUCGCCACCAUGUCCUUGGAACUAUCACCACCGACAAAAUGAUGGAUGUCACUGUGACUAUCAAGUCUUCCAUCGACAGUGAACCCGCCUUGGUCUUAGGCCCUCUGAAGUCUGUGCAGGAGCUGCGGAGGGAGCAGCAGCUGGCUGAGAUCGAGGCCCGCAGGCAGGAGAGGGAGAAAAAUGGCAAAGAGGAAGGCGAAGAAAGAAUGACCAAGCCUCCCAUGCAGGAGAUGGUAGAUGAGUUACAAGGCCCCUUCUCGUAUGAUUUCUCUUACUGGGCGCGGUCUGGAGAGAAAAUCACUGUUACACCAUCAUCUAAAGAGCUGCUCUUUUAUCCCCCUUCAAUGGAAGCCGUUGUCAGUGGAGAAAGCUGCCCAGGGAAGCUGAUCGAGAUCCACGGGAAGGCAGGCCUGUUUUUAGAAGGCCAGAUCCACCCCGAGUUGGAAGGAGUCGAGAUUGUCAUCAGUGAAAAGGGGGCAAGUUCACCGCUGAUCACAGUCUUUACUGAUGACAAAGGUGCCUACAGUGUUGGCCCCCUGCACAGUGACCUGGAGUAUACGGUGACCUCACAGAAGGAGGGCUAUGUUCUGACUGCAGUGGAAGGAACCAUCGGAGACUUCAAGGCCUAUGCCCUGGCAGGCGUAAGCUUUGAGAUAAAAGCUGAGGAUGACCAGCCCCUCCCGGGAGUCCUCUUAUCCCUGAGCGGUGGCCUGUUUCGUUCCAACCUCUUGACCCAGGACAACGGCAUUCUGACAUUCUCAAACCUGAGCCCUGGCCAGUAUUACUUCAAACCCAUGAUGAAGGAGUUCCGGUUUGAGCCAUCCUCACAGAUGAUCGAGGUGCAGGAAGGCCAGAACCUGAAGAUCACCAUCACGGGGUACCGAACCGCUUACAGUUGCUAUGGCACAGUGUCUUCCUUAAACGGAGAGCCCGAACAAGGGGUUGCCGUGGAAGCGGUGGGCCAGAACGACUGCAGCAUUUACGGAGAAGACACCGUGACAGACGAAGAGGGCAAGUUCAGAUUACGUGGAUUGCUGCCGGGAUGUCUGUACCACGUUCAGCUCAAGGCAGAAGGCAACGACCACAUUGAGCGGGCGCUCCCCCACCAUAGGGUGAUUGAGGUUGGGAAUAAUGACAUCGAUGAUGUAAACAUCAUAGUUUUCCGGCAGAUUAAUCAAUUUGAUUUAAGUGGAAAUGUGAUCACUUCCUCUGAAUACCUUCCUACAUUAUGGGUAAGUCCAGACUUUUAAGCUCCAAGUAUUGUGUUCCCUUUGGCUUUGAGACAAGUACGAAUGGGAUGUUUUUGGUUUUGUGCCUGUCUUGUGCCUUAGGUGUGACAGGUGGAGGUGCUCCAGAGUGCCGCCUGCUGAGGGUUGAGGUUGAGAUUUAAGAACCUUGGACCACAACACAUAUUUGGGAGAGUGAUUGCCAAUUGUGGGAGAGAAUGUGGUCCAGUUUCAGAUAACUGUCUGCCAUCAGUUAAUCUUCCAAAGAAUUAUAGUAGAAGCCUGAUCAAUGAUCAGUACAAUAUGGAAUCUAACGUGGAAAGCCAAUUUUAAAGAAAGUGCCUUGUAACUUAAAAUUUUCUCUGGAGUGGAGGUCGUAUUAAACGUUCUUGCAUUGGUAUAAAGAAAUGCCUGAGGCUAGAUAAUUUAUAACAAAAGAGGCUUCAUUGGCUCCUCGUUCUGUAGGUUGUACAGGAAGCAUAGUGGCAUCUGCUUCUGGGGAGGCCUCAGGAGGCUUCCAAUCAUGGCAGAAGGUGAAGUGGGAGCAGGCAUGUCAUGUGGGAGAAGCUGGAGCAAAAGAGAGAGUUGGGGCAUGGUGCCACACACUUUUAAAUGAUCAGAUUUCACAAGACUCAUAACGAAGACAGCACCAAGCCAUGUGAUUAGAUUUGCAGACGCU
ensembl:lincRNA